CCUUAACUAUUGACAAAGAUAUUCCUUUUCAAUAUCCUAUUGAUGAGUUCCAAAAUCUAGGCAAAUUUAAUAUUGCCCUCUUAGCAAAACAGGGCUGGAGGCUUAUGGAAAACCCUAAUUCGUUACUUGCAAGAACAUUAAAACCUAAAUAUUAUCCCGAGAGUGAUUUUUUGCAAGCUGAAUUAGGAUAUUACCCGUCAUUUACCUGGGGAAGCGUAUGGUCAACUAAGAAGUUAUUGAAAGAAGGUAUGGCCUGAAGAGUGGGAAAAGGAGACCAAAUUUCAAUAUGGACCGAUGCCUGGAUCCCUGGCUUAGAAGAACACAAGAUAAGAGAGAGAGUCAGAAAUAACAGCUAUGAGAAAGUAGCAGAUUUAAUUGACCCAAAUCUUAGAAUAUGGAAAGAAGAUGUCUCAAGAGAAGAGACGAACGCAAUAUUAAGUACUUCGUUGGCAAAGUAUCCACAAGAAGACUUCAGAAUUUGGAACAGGGAACAAACAGGGGAAUAUACAGUGAGGAGUGGCUACAGAUGGCUUAAAAAGGAAAUAUCAAAACUAAACACUACGACGACAAAUAUUAUAGAUAUAAAUACAUUCUUCCACAAAGAGCUUUGGCAAACAGAUCUACCAGGAAAAAUAAAAAUUACAAACUGGAGGGUGUACAAUGGCUAUAUUCUUACAAUGGGAAAUCUACAUUACAAACGAAUAUGCAACAAUGCUAUGUGCCCAUGCUAUAGAGAAAUGGCAGAAUCCAUGGAACACACCUUCAGAGAUUGCCAAGCAGUAAAAAAAAAUAUGAUAGGAGUUAGGGUUCCUCGAUUACUAAAGAGAUGGAAGAGAAUGACUUCAAUAGUGGUUAAGCGAAAUACUUACCAAAACGACUAGUGCUCAAAGGAAAGUUAUAUUUUGUAGCAUCUGGGGAAUAUGGAUGCGGAGGAAUAAGAUCCUGCAUGAGAAAAAAACCCUAUCAGCAGAAGACACUGUAAAGUUC
rnacentral:lncRNA from 1 species